GAUGAACGCUGGCGGCGUGCCUAAUACAUGCCAGUCGAGCGAACAGAUAAGGAGCUUGCUCCUUUGACGUUAGCGGCGGACGGGUGAGUAACACGUGGGUAACCUACCUAUAAGACUGGGAUAACUUCGGGAAACCGGAGCUAAUACCGGAUAACAUUUGGAACCGCAUGGUUCUAAAGUGAAAGAUGGUUUUGCUAUCACUUAUAGAUGGACCCGCGCCGUAUUAGCUAGUUGGUAAGGUAACGGCUUACCAAGGCGACGAUACGUAGCCGACCUGAGAGGGUGAUCGGCCACACUGGAACUGAGACACGGUCCAGACUCCUACGGGAGGCAGCAGUAGGGGAUCUUCCGCAAUGGGCGAAAGCCUGACGGAGCAACGCCGCGUGAGUGAUGAAGGGUUUCGGCUCGUAAAACUCUGUUAUUAGGGAAGAACAAACGUGUAAGUAACUGUGCACGUCUUGACGGUACCUAAUCAGAAAGCCACGGCUAACUACGUG
rnacentral:rRNA from 1 species